CCGAGUAGGCGGCAGGUUGUAGCCCUGUGCAGGCGGGUAUUAACCCCGUCCUUACCAA
rnacentral:tRNA from 1 species